CAGUAGCCGCGGGAAUACGUAGGGUGCGAGCGUUAAUCGGAAUUACUGGGCGUAAAGCGUGCGCAGGCGGUUUGUUAAGACAGAUGUGAAAUCCCCGGGCUUAACCUGGGAACUGCAUUUGUGACUGGCCGGCUAGAGUAUGGCAGAGGGAGGUGGAAUUCCACGUGUAGCAGUGAAAUGCGUAGAUAUGUGGAGGAACACCGAUGGCGAAGGCAGCCUCCUGGGCCAAUACUGACGCUCAUGCACGAAAGCGUGGGGAGCAAACAGGAUUAGAUACCCCCGUAGUCCCUGUCUCUUAUAC
rnacentral:rRNA from 1 species